UACGUAGGGUGCAAGCGUUGUCCGGAAUUAUUGGGCGUAAAGAGCUCGUAGGCGGUCUGUUGCGUCGGCUGUGAAAACCCGGGGCUCAACCCCGGGCCUGCAGCCGAUACGGGCAGACUAGAGUUCGGCAGGAGAGACUGGAAUUCCUGGUGUAGCGGUGAAAUGCGCAGAUAUCAGGAGGAACACCGGUGGCGAAGGCGGGUCUCUGGGCCGAUACUGACGCUGAGGAGCGAAAGCGUGGGGAGCGAACAGG
rnacentral:rRNA from 1 species